GUAGCUGGGAUGCCAGGCGCCCACUACCACACCUGGCUAAUUUUUGUAUUUUUUACUAAGACCGGAAAGCCAUGCAAACCUUCCUCCUCCCUUAGGCUCACCAUAUCAAAUUACAGCAGACCUCAGACACUUUUCUUUUUUGUUGUUUUGUUGUUGUUGAGACAAGGUCUCACUUUGUCACCCAGGCUGGAGUACAGUGGCGAGAACACGGCUCACUGCCGCCUCGACCUCCCAUGCUCAAGCGAUCCUCUCACCUCAGCCUUCCAGGUAGCUAAGGGCGUGCCUCCACGUCCAGCUAAUUUUUGUAUUUUUUGUAGAGUUGGUUUGCAGAAAACAGCCCCCAACAAAGUCAAUCCCCAGCACUAGUGAAGUUCACAUUUUUAUUCUAUUUUAAAGGGGAAAUUACAUGCUGUAAUAGUUUUGUGAACUUCGAACUAUCAUGCAAGAGUCUAGUGUAUCAAUUCUCUCUGUGAUCAAACAGAAAACUAUGCACUAAGCUGCUGAUCUUAGCACUUGGCCAGGUGCUGU
rnacentral:lncRNA from 1 species